rnacentral:tRNA from 1 species
GCACGUUUAGCUCAGUGGUAGAGCAUCUCGUUGACGUCGAGAGGGCCGCUGGUUCGAUCCCAGCAACGUGCA